rnacentral:rRNA from 1 species
UGCAAGUCGAGCGGACAGAUGGGAGCUUGCUCCCUGAUGUUAGCGGCGGACGGGUGAGUAACACGUGGGUAACCUGCCUGUAAGACUGGGAUAACUCCGGGAAACCGGGGCUAAUACCGGAUGCUUGUUUGAACCGCAUGGUUCAAACAUAAAAGGUGGCUUCGGCUACCACUUACAGAUGGACCCGCGGCGCAUUAGCUAGUUGGUGAGGUAACGGCUCACCAAGGCAACGAUGCGUAGCCGACCUGAGAGGGUGAUCGGCCACACUGGGACUGAGACACGGCCCAGACUCCUACGGGAGGCAGCAGUAGGGAAUCUUCCGCAAUGGACGAAAGUCUGACGGAGCAACGCCGCGUGAGUGAUGAAGGUUUUCGGAUCGUAAAGCUCUGUUGUUAGGGAAGAACAAGUACCGUUCGAAUAGGGCGGUACCUUGACGGUACCUAACCAGAAAGCCACGGCUAACUACGUGCCAGCAGCCGCGGUAAUACGUAGGUGGCAAGCGUUGUCCGGAAUUAUUGGGCGUAAAGGGCUCGCAGGCGGUUCCUUAAGUCUGAUGUGAAAGCCCCCGGCUCAACCGGGGAGGGUCAUUGGAAACUGGGGAACUUGAGUGCAGAAGAGGAGAGUGGAAUUCCACGUGUAGCGGUGAAAUGCGUAGAGAUGUGGAGGAACACCAGUGGCGAAGGCGACUCUCUGGUCUGUAACUGACGCUGAGGAGCGAAAGCGUGGGGAGCGAACAGGAUUAGAUACCCUGGUAGUCCACGCCGUAAACGAUGAGUGCUAAGUGUUAGGGGGUUUCCGCCCCUUAGUGCUGCAGCUAACGCAUUAAGCACUCCGCCUGGGGAGUACGGACGAAAGACUGAAACUCAAAGGAAUUGACGGGGGCCCGCA